AGCGAACGCUGGCGGCAGGCCUAACACAUGCAAGUCGAACGAACCUUUCGGGGUUAGUGGCGGACGGGUGAGUAACACGUGGGAACGUGCCUUUAGGUUCGGAAUAACUCAGGGAAACUUGUGCUAAUACCGAAUGUGCCCUUCGGGGGAAAGAUUUAUCGCCUUUAGAGCGGACCGCGUCUGAUUAGCUAGUUGGUUGAGGUAAUGGCUCACCAAGGCGACGAUCAGUAGCUGGUCUGAGAGGAUGAUCAGCCACAUUGGGACUGAGACACGGCCCAAACUCCUACGGGAGGCAGCAGUGGGGAAUCUUGCGCAAUGGGCGAAAGCCUGACGCAGCCAUGCCGCGUGAAUGAUGAAGGUCUUAGGAUUGUAAAAUUCUUUCACCGGGGACGAUAAUGACGGUACCCGGAGAAGAAGCCCCGGCUAACUUCGUG
rnacentral:rRNA from 1 species